CCACCAUAAAUACACACUACCAGUUUAUUCCAAAAUGCAAUCGACGAGCAAUUUGCAGUUUAGAUGCCUUUAAGGUGAUGAGAAAGUUGUCGGAAAAUAUGAUGUCGAUUGAUAAACACUUCCAGACUACAAUUAUCUGAUUAAUGGUUGGUUUGUCUUCCAUUUGUGAUUUGUUUUUCCAAUAUUUUUUGGAUUCUGUUGCUUUAGAUGGAUUAAUAGUUAUGUAUUUUAGUUUAUAUGAAACGGUUUAAAGGAAUGAAA
rnacentral:lncRNA from 1 species